AACGUACGCUGGCGGCACGCCUAACACAUGCGAGUCGAACGCAGUAGCAAUACUGAGUGGCAGACGGGUGAGUAACAUGUGGGAAUCUGCCUUGUGGUUCAGGACAACAUUGGGAAACCGAUGCUAAUACUGGAUAAGCCCUUACGGGGAAAGUUUUAAUGCCAUAAGAUGAGCCCGCAUUUGAUUAGUUAGUUGGUGAGGUAAUGGCUCACCAAGACAAUGAUCAAUAGCUGAUCUGAGAGGAUGAUCAGCCACACUGGGACUGAGACACGGCCCAGACUCCUACGGGAGGCAGCAGUGGGGAAUCUUGCACAAUGGAGGAAACUCUGAUGCAGCUAUGCCGCGUGAGUGAAGAAGGCCUUUGGGUUGUAAAGCUCUUUUGUAGGGGAAGAUAAUGACUGUACCCUAAGAAUAAGGUCCGGCUAACUUCGUGCCAGCAGCCGCCGUAA
rnacentral:rRNA from 1 species